UACGAAGGGGGCUAGCGUUGUUCGGAAUUACUGGGCGUAAAGCGCACGUAGGCGGAUAUUUAAGUCAGGGGUGAAAUCCCAGAGCUCAACUCUGGAACUGCCUUUGAUACUGGGUAUCUCGAGUAUGGAAGGGGGUGAGUGGAAUUCCGAGUGUAGAGGUGAAAUUCGUAGAUAUUCGGAGGAACACCAGUGGCGAAGGCGGCUCACUGGUCCAUUACUGACGCUGAGGUGCGAAAGCGUGGGGAGCAAACAGG
rnacentral:rRNA from 1 species